rnacentral:rRNA from 1 species
UACGUAGGGGGCAAGCGUUGUCCGGAAUCAUUGGGCGUAAAGCGCGUGUAGGCGGCCUUGUAAGUCUGUUCUGAAAGCCCGGGGCUCAACCCCGGGAGGCGGAUGGAUACUGCAAGGCUCGAGUACGGAAGAGGCGAGUGGAAUUCCCGGUGUAGCGGUGAAAUGCGCAGAUAUCGGGAGGAACACCAAUGGCGAAGGCAGCUCGCUGGGACGUUACUGACGCUGAGACGCGAAAGCGUGGGGAGCAAACAGGAUUAAGAAA